rnacentral:misc_RNA from 1 species
AAGAGGCGUAAUUUUGGGAUAAGAAGCAACCGUGACCUUCACCAAGCGGAAAGUGAAAUGCAAUCGCACGUACCAAAACAGUUAGUCACACGUGCAAAGCCAUCUAUUAAGUAGAUUGCUGACUGAAAUCAGUAACAAGAAGAUAAAAGCAGCAGUCAUAGGGAAGCAGAUUCUAUCGCUGGAAGAUUCCAUUUCUUCUCAGGUGUGACUUAUUUUUACCGGAUUUUUUCGGAAAUUAUUUAAAUGAAUUUGUGAACGCCUUUAAUUUUCAAUUAUACUUGAUUUUUUGUUUUCUUGCAAUCUAUUUGUGCUCAAAAAGUUCUAUGAUUUUGGAUAAUUAUUUGAUUGUGAUUGAGAUUCUAUUUUCUCGGGAAACAAUAAUGGCAUUAGCAGUUUUCUCGAAUUUUUUUGUUCGAUUGUUAAUAAUAGAUUAAAAAAUGAAUUAUUUUGUGAUAUUCUGCAGGUGAAAAAGGCUUGGAUUUUGAAAAAAAGAG